AACGGGUGAGUAAACACGUGGCGUGACUGCCCUGCACUUCGGGGAUAAGCCUGGGAACUGGGUCUAAUACCGGAAUAGGACCGCACCGUGAGGGUGUGGUGGAAAGUUUUUCGGUGUGGGAUGGGCCCCGGCCUAUCAGCUUGUUGGUGGGGUAAUGGCCUACCAAGGCGGCGACGGGUAGCCGGCCUGAGAGGGUGGACGGCCACAUUGGGACUGAGACACGGCCCAGACUCCUACGGGAGGCAGCAGUGGGGAAUAUUGCACAAUGGGCGGAAGCCUGAUGCAGCGACGCCGCGUGGGGGAUGACGGCCUUCGGGUUGUAAACUCCUUUCACCAUCGACGAAGGGUUUCUGACGGUAGAUGGAGAAGAAGCACCGGCUAACUACGUGCCAGCAGCCGCGGUAAUACGUAGGGUGCGAGCGUUGUCCGGAAUUACUGGGCGUAAAGAGCUCGUAGGUGGUUUGUCGCGUCGUCUGUGAAAUUCCGGGGCUUAACUCCGGGCGUGCAGGCGAUACGGGCAUAACUUGAGUACUGUAGGGGAGACUGGAAUUCCUGGUGUAGCGAUGAAAUGCGCAGAUAUCAGGAGGAACACCGGUGGCGAAGGCGGGUCUCUGGGCAGUAACUGACGCUGAGGAGCGAAAGCAUGGGGAGCGAACAGGAUUAGAUACCCUGGUAGUCCAUGCCGUAAACGGUGGGCGCUAGGUGUGGGUUUCCUUCCACGGGAUCCGUGCCGUAGCUAACGCAUUAAGCGCCCCGCCUGGGGAGUACGCCGCAAGG
rnacentral:rRNA from 1 species